AGCAGCCGCGGUAAUUCCAGCUCCAAUAGCGUAUAUUAAAGUUGUUGCAGUUAAAAAGCUCGUAGUUGAAUUUCGGGGUUAGUAAGCUGGUCGUGCCACUGGUAUGUACUGGUUUUACUGAUCUCUCCCUCUUGUAGAACCGUAAUGCCAUUAAUUUGGUGUUGCGGGAAAACAGGACUGUUACUUUGAAAAAUUAGAGUGUUUAAAGCAGGCUAACGCUUGAAUACAUUAGCAUGGAAUAAUGAGAUAGGACGUUCGAUCCUAUUUUGUUGGUUUCUAGGAUUGACGUAAUGAUUAAUAGGGAUAGUUGGGGGCAUUAGUAUUCAAUUGUCAGAGGUGAAAUUCUUGGAUUUAUUGAAGACUAACUACUGCGAAAGCAUUUGCCAAGGAUGUUUUCAUUAAUCAAGAACGAAAGUUAGGGGAUCGAAGACGAUC
rnacentral:rRNA from 1 species